ensembl:lncRNA
AUGGAAGUUAAAUCUCAAAUCCACCCUCUUGAAGGGAAAAAGGUGGGGUUUUAAUUUGUAGUUAAAGGUCGGGGAGGGGAGCCUGUCGUCUUCCUGCAUUACACUUCAGCCUGUGUUGAGUUUUGAAGGUUGAAUGUCUUUUCUCCAUGACUGAGUGGACUUCUCUGGUUAGUUUUCAUCCUCAGCUGUCUUUGGCUUUGUGAGGCUGAAUCUCCUUUCUUCCUGGCUUCUGGACCCUGACUCCCUGGGAAAGGCAGCUGGAUCCUCUGCUAAGAGGACGGAAAGACCUGCGUGGCUGAUGAGCGGUGUAGGUCCGUGCGCAGGAUCUCAACCUGCGAACCCUGGCUGCAGAAGCGGAGCACACAAGCUUAACCACUACGCCACCAGGCAUCCUCUGGAUCUUUGACUGAUUACCCUAAACUUCAGAAGUAGAGGAGAUGACCAGCCAGCUGGGCUGCUCCUUCAAACUCACAGAACGAUUCCUGAAGCUGAUGAAAUACAUCCCAACAUGACAGGUGAGCCUGUUGACCUGUCAUCGGCCCGACACCCAGAUCCACUCAAACAAAACCUCGCAGGAAAAAGGAAAUGAAAUUACAAGGUCCAGUGCUGCCUCACCGCAGCCUGUCUUCUUGCUUUAUUUCUUGCUCAUCAGUCGAACCCGGCACUGGAUGAAAACACAGGUUUGCCCUCUGCCCCUCCUAUACUUGGGACCCUGAGGAGCUUUUAAGAGGAUUUAUCUACCCUCAGGGGAGGUUGUCCCAUUUUCUUGUCCCCAGAGAGAUCGUCACUGCUUAAGUGGCUGCUGGUGGCAACUCAUCACUUGAAUGUGUCCAUUUGACAUACUGAAUUCAGAAUAUGCUCACCCAUUUGGGACUCUGCUUUGCCUGAAUCUGGUCAGGCACUGGUGCUGGGAUGGCCCUGGCUCCUGUGAUGCCCACGCACUCGCAUGACCCUGAGUCCACUGUGUCCAGGGGGUGCCUACAUUAUCUGCACGAUCUGCUCCUCAUCGUCAGAGAGGGAUGAUGCCCUCCGGUCAACACUGCAGCCUCUAUCUCCUUCCCAGGCGUGCAGAGACCCGCCCCCCAGGUCUGGCACGUGUUUGGGCUUUGGUGUGUGCACAGUGUGACCCGGUAGGUGUCGCUGGAUCUGGACCUCGGCCCUAAUGUGAUUCCAUUCUCUCUGGAAUCUGGAUCCUUGACUUCUCUCUAUAGGAAUUUCUCACCCCAGGGUUUCCAUGACAACCGCCCUCCUGGCUUUCUCCCUCCCCUUCAUCCUCCUCCACCAUCACUUACCAAAUGCACCACCCCGACCUCUGACUAGGUCUCCAGACAGACCUCCUAACGUCAUCUCAGCCAUGCUCUGUGCAGGUGUUGUGGCUCCAUUCUGGACCAAAGCCACCGUGAGAUGACAACUGAAACCCGCUAAGCCACCCUGAGCUCAGCCUGCCCCAAUGCUGCCCAGCUCUGCUGCCUCCAAGUGGGCAGCACUGUGAGCGAGAGCCUCACGCCUCUGCAGAGUUACAGAACCCCGCGCCCUGCACCCUGCAGAGCAGCCCCUUCCACAGGGACACUGCGCGUUCCUUCUUCCAAGCCUCACCAUGCUCCACCCUCGUCCUUUUAUAUAUUUAGUUAUGACUUACAGACAAUAGGCUACACGUGUUCAGCUAGAUGAACUCCGACAAAUGUCCACACUUGAAAAACCCACAUUCAAGACGUGGGACAUGUUACUCUAGAGAGUUUCUCAUGCUUCGUCCAGGCCACCUCGUCCUUGGACCUCACACAGAUGCAUCAGGUGGGCUCUUUCCACUCAGUGGGAUGCACUGAGAUCCACCCCCGCUGCUGCCUGCAUCAUUACUUCAUUCCUCCUUGUCUCUGAUCACUGUUUCAGAGUUUGUGCCCCUUCUCCUGUUGAAGGACGUUCAGACUGUCACAAGUUUAGUAAAUUGCACACCUG